UUAAGCCAUGCAAGUGUAAGUAUAAAUAGACAAAUUAUUGUACUAUGAGACUGCGAAUGGCUCAUUAAAUCAGCAAUCAUUUAUUCGGUGGAUGAAGUAAUUCUAAAAUGGAUAACCGUGGGAAAUCUAGAGCUAAUACAUGACAAAAGAGAAUUCUUUAGAAAAAGGAAUGCAUAUAUUAGAUAACAAAUACCAAAAAUACAAAGGUGAAUCAUAAUAUUUAUAGCAAAUUAUACAGAGGAAGUAAUUCUUCUUGAUAAUAAACCGAUCAAAUUUCUGCCCUAUCAUACUUUGGACGGUAAUGUAGUGGAUUACGGUGGUGAUGACGGGUAACGGAGAAUUAGGGUUUGAUUCCGGAGAGGGAGCAUGAGAAAUGGCUACCACUUCCAAGGAAGGCAGCAGGC
rnacentral:rRNA from 1 species